UGGGGAAUAUUGCACAAUGGGCGCAAGCCUGAUGCAGCCAUGCCGCGUGUGUGAAGAAGGCCUUCGGGUUGUAAGCACUUUCAGCGAGGAGGAAGGGUAGUGUGUUAAUAGCACAUUGCAUUGACGUUACUCGCAGAAGAAGCACCGGCUAACUCCGUGCCAGCAGCCGCGGUAAUACGGAGGGUGCAAGCGUUAAUCGGAAUUACUGGGCGUAAAGCGCACGCAGGCGGUUUGUUAAGUCAGAUGUGAAAUCCCCGCGCUUAACGUGGGAACUGCAUUUGAAACUGGCAAGCUAGAGUCUUGUAGAGGGGGGUAGAAUUCCCAGGUGUAGCGGUGAAAUGCGUAGAGAUCUGGAGGAAUACCGGUGGCGAAGGCGGCCCCCUGGACAAAGACUGACG
rnacentral:rRNA from 1 species